rnacentral:rRNA from 1 species
UACGUAGGUGGCAAGCGUUGUCCGGAUUUACUGGGCGUAAAGCGCGUGUAGGCGGGAGGCCAAGUCUGCGGUGAAAUCGCUCGGCUCAACUGGGCGGGGUCCGUGGAAACUGGUCACCUGGAGGACGGUAGAGGCGAGUGGAAUUCCCGGUGUAGUGGUGAAAUGCGUAGAGAUCGGGAGGAACACCAGUGGCGAAGGCGGCUCGCUGGGCCGGACCUGACGCUGAGACGCGAAGGCGUGGGGAGCGAACGGG